GCUUGGCUGGUUCAGUUGGUAGAGUGUGAGACUCUCUAUCUCCAGAUUGUGAGUUCAAGCCCCAUGUUGGGCA
rfam:Ailuropoda melanoleuca scaffold566_48, whole genome shotgun sequence.